rnacentral:rRNA from 1 species
CCUACGGGUGGCUGCAGUGAGGAAUAUUGCUCAAUGGGCGCGAGCCUGAUCCAGCCAAGCAGCGUGAAGGAUGACUGCCCUACGGGUUGUAAACUCCUUUUAUAAAGGAAUAAAGUGCGGCACGUGUGCCUUUUUGUAUGUACUUUAUGAAUAAGGAUCGGCUAACUCCGUGCCAACAGCCGCGGUAAUACGGAGGAUCCGAGCGUUAUCCGGAUUUAUUGGGUGUAAAGGGAGCGUAGAUGGGUUGGUAAGUCAGUGGUGAAAGUUGUCGGCUCAACCGGAAAAUUGCAAUUGAUACUGGCAGGCUGGAGUGCAGUUGAGGUAGGCGGAAUUCGUGGUGUAGCGGUGAAAUGCUUAGAUAUCACGAAGAACACCGAUUGCGAAGGCAGCCUACUAGACUGCCACUGACGUUGAUGCUCGAAAGUGUGGGUAUCAAACAGGAUUAGAUACCCGGGUAGUC